GUAGCUCUGAUCAGACCCCUAGCCUGGGAACUUCCAUAUGCCGCAAGUGCAGCCUGGAAAAAGGAAAAAAAAAAAAAAAAAAAAAAGAAAGAAAAAGUGAGUAUUCAGUAAAGCUAAAAAGGCUAUCUCUAAUGCUUUCCCUCUGAAAUAUUGACUUAGAAUAAUUGGCUUCCCCUUUGGACAUAGGCAGUGGUGAAACAUAAUCCACAGUUGAUGUUACUGGGAAUUCAAUAGCACUUAGGACUCAGCUGUAACAUGUUCUGUAAUCAAUAUACACCUAAGUAACUCGUGCUCAUAUAUAACCUCAGAACAACUUCUUCUGUUAGAGUUUGGAGGAUGGGUUCUUCAUUUGGGGAGGUCUAUACUAUGAAAUUGGGAACCUCUUUAUCUCCUAUGGCAGCUCAAAGGGCUUGUUGUUGCAGGCAGCCCUGAACAUGGCAACCCGGGGCAACAUAUUCUGAUGAUGGCCUGGGGCCAGAGUCUGAGAUCUUUGCAGAGAGAAGCGCUCCUGUGGACUUCAGGCAAGGAGUGACCCAUCACCGACAUUCAGUUCGCUGGCCUUGCCUCGGGCUCCGUCACAUGAAAUAGUGGCUUAUCAUGUUUUUCCAUCAUAUGAUGUGGUCAAGAGAGCCCAAGCACUCACCUGCAAAACUCACUCUUCAUUCCGGAUACUUCUGCUCUACCCCUUUCUAGUUCUUGGCACGAAAUGCAAAGUUCCCUUCAGAAAGAAGACCUUGAAAGACAACUUGCUCCAACUGCCAAAUGCAAGGGGUGCCAUCCCUGAGCAGCCCCAGCCAAGCACAGGAAGACUUAUGACCCCAGGAGAGGCCACCUUAAGACCUGCCCACUGAACCCAGUGUAGACUGCUGGUACCAGGGACCCUUAGCAAAUAAAAUUCAUGUUCUUUUAAGCUAUAAUGUUGGG
rnacentral:lncRNA from 1 species